UUGAAUGAUGUAUAUAGUUCUACGUGUGUGAAUGUGCAUGUGUUUAUACACAACAGAUAUAUGUGUAUGUAGAACAGAUAAAA
rnacentral:pre_miRNA from 1 species